rnacentral:rRNA from 1 species
GAGGAAUAUUGGGCAAUGCCCGCAAGGGUGAUCCAGCAACGCCGCGUGGAGGAUGAAUGUCGUAAGAUUGUAAACUCCUGUUAGAGGGGAAGAAUAGUACCGGUUGGACCGGUAUAUGACUGUACCCUCAGAGAAAGCCCCGGCUAACUACGUGCCAGCAGCCGCGGUAAUACGUAGGGGGCAAGCGUUGUCCGGAUUUACUGGGUGUAAAGGGCGCGCAGGCGGGAUAAAAAGUCAGUGGUGAAAUCCUACAGCUUAACUGUAGAACUGCCUUUGAUACUUUUAUUCUUGAGUUCGGGAGAGAGAGACGGAAUUCCAGGUGUAGUGGUGAAAUACGUAGAUAUCUGGAAGAACACCAGUUGCGAAGGCGGUCUCUUGGUCCGACACUGACGCUGAGGCGCGAAAGCGUGGGGAGCAAACA